GGAGAGGUGGCCGAGUGGUUGAAGGCACCGGUCUUGAAAACCGGCAUGCGUGCAAGCGCAUCGUGGGUUCGAAUCCCACCCUCUCCG
rnacentral:tRNA from 1 species